UUAAGAGAUUCCAACCAUUCCAAAGUGACACCAUGAUUAACCACUUGAAAAAAACCAAGUGUUGAGGCAUUUGCUAAGAUGAGUUUUCAUUACACAUAACAAACAUACAAGAUGUGUUUAAUACAAGAUGUUCAAAGCAAACAUAACGCUCGAGAGGGGUCAGGAAGUACCUCAAGAUGAAGUCUUCAAGAUUACUCACACGAGGAAGGCGAAGAACGCCGAUGGUACGGACCAAUGGAUUGAGCCUAGGGCUCAGCAAACCUAUACCGAGUUUCAACAACACAAGUUGGAAUAUUGUGCCAGUCAGCCAGCCUGGACGUCGAUGACCAACGAGAUAAUUGCUUAGCAGUGGAUGGAGAAGGUAGCUCCCCCGACAAGGUAUGAGACAGUUUAUGGGAUGCCUAAUCGAGCAUGUCGUCAAUUUCCGUCGUUCUUUCAAGGCGUAGGUGCUACUUCUGAAGGGGCAGUGGAUCCUAAGGAGUACCAAGAAAUGAAGCUGAAAG